AUUUUCAGGUGCUAACUGUGUUCUUGAUUUAAAUAUUUUUAAUAUUUCUAUAAAGAUUUUAUACGAGCGCUUAAAAUUUGCGAAAGAGUUUUUCGAUAAAGAGAAGUAUCCCGAAGAAAUUUUGUUAGGUGACGAGUCGCACCUGACGGCAAGUAGUGCGCGAUUUGAAUCUGAAUUUCUGCUCUCGCUGCGCUCAUUUAUAAAUAAAGAAGUUGACCAGCAGACGUACGAAGCCAUCAUCCGACAACUGUUUUUCCUGCACGCCCAUCAAGUCCUCCCUCUUGAAUUUGUUACUAUGAAACUGUUGAAUUUGACUGAGCAAUCACGUGAUCAACUUGGCUACUCUGGAGAUCUUGUCAGGAAGUUUAUGUUUACUUUUAACUCUUCCAAUCAUACGCUCGAUAUAACACUAAUCGAGAAAUCGCCGUUGCGUCUGUGAAUUACUGCACUAAUAAAAAAAAG